rnacentral:rRNA from 1 species
GAUGAACGCUAGCGGCAGGCCUAACACAUGCAAGUCGAGGGGCAGCACAGAAACAGCAAUGUUUUGGUGGCGACCGGCGGACGGGUGCGUAACGCGUAUGCAAUCUACCUUUAACAGGGGGAUAACGGAGAGAAAUUUCCACUAAUACCCCAUAACAUCGAUCAAGGCAUCUUGAUUGGUUGAAAACUCCGGUGGUUAAAGAUGGGCAUGCGUUGUAUUAGGUAGUUGGUGAGGUCAUGGCUCACCAAGCCUACGAUACAUAGGGGGACUGAGAGGUUAGCCCCCCACACUGGUACUGAGACACGGACCAGACUCCUACGGGAGGCAGCAGUGAGGAACAUUGGUCAAUGGGGGCAACCCUGAGCCAGCCAUGCCGCGUGCAGGAAGACGGCUCUAUGAGUUGUAAACUGCUUUUAAACAGGGAUAAAGCACAGUAUGUAUACUGUGUUGAAGGUACUGUAAGAAUAAGGAUCGGCUAACUCCGUGCCAGCCGCCGCAGUAA